UUUGAUGGCGACCGGCGCACGGGUGAGUAACACGUAUCCAACCUGCCGAUGACUCGGGGAUAGCCUUUCGAAAGAAAGAUUAAUACCCGAUGGCAUAGUUCUUCCGCAUGGUAGAACUAUUAAAGAAUUUCGGUCAUCGAUGGGGAUGCGUUCCAUUAGCUUGUUGGCGGGGUAACGGCCCACCAAGGCAUCGAUGGAUAGGGGUUCUGAGAGGAAGGUCCCCCACAUUGGAACUGAGACACGGUCCAAACUCCUACGGGAGGCAGCAG
rnacentral:rRNA from 1 species